GUGGGGAAUCUUGCGCAAUGGGCGAAAGCCUGACGCAGCCAUGCCGCGUGAAUGAUGAAGGUCUUAGGAUUGUAAAAUUCUUUCACCGGGGACGAUAAUGACGGUACCCGGAGAAGAAGCUCCGGCUAACUUCGUGCCAGCAGCCGCGGUAAUACGAAGGGGGCUAGCGUUGCUCGGAAUUACUGGGUGUAAAGGGCGCGUAGGCGGACAGCUUAGUCAGAGGUGAAAGCCCAGGGCUCAACCUUGGAAUUGCCUUUGAUACUGGCUGUCUUGAGUUUGGGAGAGGUGAGUGGAACUCCGAGUGUAGAGGUGAAAUUCGUAGAUAUUCGGAAGAACACCAGUGGCGAAGGCGACUCACUGGCCCAAUACUGACGCUGAGGCGCGAAAGCGUGGGGAGCAAACAGGAUUAGAAACCCGAGUAGUCC
rnacentral:rRNA from 1 species